AUUGAACGCUGGCGGCAUGCUUUACACAUGCAAGUCGAACGGCAGCGCGGGCUUCGGCCUGGCGGCGAGUGGCGAACGGGUGAGUAAUGCAUCGGAACGUGCCCAGUAGUGGGGGAUAGCCCGGCGAAAGCCGGAUUAAUACCGCAUACGACCUGAGGGUGAAAGCGGGGGACCGAAAGGCCUCGCGCUAUUUGAGCGGCCGAUGUCGGAUUAGCUAGUUGGUGGGGUAAAGGCUUACCAAGGCGACGAUCCGUAGCUGGUCUGAGAGGACGACCAGCCACACUGGAACUGAGACACGGCCCAGACUCCUACGGGAGGCAGCAGUGGGGAAUUUUGGACAAUGGGGGCAACCCUGAUCCAGCCAUGCCGCGUGCGGGAAGAAGGCCUUCGGGUUGUAAACCGCUUUUGUUCGGGAAGAAAUCCUCUGGGCUAAUACCCCGGGGGGAUGACGGUACCGGAAGAAUAAGCACCGGCUAACUACGUG
rnacentral:rRNA from 1 species